UUUUGGUGAAGUAACAUGAAUGAAUGAUAUGAUGAAUUUGCUCAUGAAAUUGUGAGUAUGAUUUGAUAAAUUAUACAUGUUAAGGUGUGUAUUAUUGAGUUAAAGGUGAGUUGCAUGUAGUUAAUAAAUUUAUUAAGUUGAAUUAUUAUAUGUGUUCGAGUUGUGUUGAUAUGACGAGAUGCUAACCAUUGAGAAUAUGUAUGAAAUAUAGGAAUGUUAUGAAUAUGGAUUAUUU
rnacentral:lncRNA from 1 species